rnacentral:rRNA from 1 species
UACAGAGGGUGCAAGCGUUAAUCGGAAUUACUGGGCGUAAAGCGUGCGUAGACGGUCAUGUAAGUCGGGUGUGAAAGCCCCGGGCUCAACCUGGGAAUUGCAUUCGAGACUGCAUGGCUAGGGUGCGGAAGAGGGAAGCGGAAUUCCUGGUGUAGCGGUGAAAUGCGCAGAUAUCAGGAGGAACACCGGUGGCGAAGGCGGUGGUCUGGGCCGGAACUGACGCUGAGGAGCGAAAGCGUGGGGAGCGAACAGG